rnacentral:rRNA from 1 species
AUUGAACGCUGGCGGCAUGCCUUACACAUGCAAGUCGAACGAGUGGCGGACGGGUGAGUAAUGUAUGGGGAACUGCCUGAUGGAGGGGGAUAACUACUGGAAACGGUAGCUAAUACCGCAUACUAUCGGAUGAACCCAGAUGGGAUUAGCUAGUAGGUGAGGUAAUGGCUCACCUAGGCGACGAUCCCUAGCUGGUCUGAGAGGAUGAUCAGCCACACUGGAACUGAGACACGGUCCAGACUCCUACGGGAGGCAGCAGUGGGGAAUAUUGCACAAUGGGCGCAAGCCUGAUGCAGCCAUGCCGCGUGUAUGAAGAAGGCCCUAGGGUUGUAAAGUACUUUCAGCCGGGAGGCGUUACCGACAGAAGAAGCACCGGCUAACUCCGUGCCAGCAGCCGCGGUAAUUC